GGGAGAGAGAGCCUGGCUGCCGCGGUAGCUGUCUCGGCGACGGGGUAGCUAUCUGACGUGGACCGACUCUCGGAGUCGCUCUACGCUGUAACGUGAUCCAUCCCUUCGGGAUGCAUCACGCUCUACCGUUGCCCGUCCCUCCGGGACGCGCAACGUACGCGAGGAAAGUCCCCCCACCUGUUCGGGCAGGUGACCGGACGCAAGUCCGGAGCGGGAGACCGCUGGCUCUGGAACAGAAACGACACGUCUCGGCCCGACCGAUGAUGCGCGCGAACCCGACCGAGAGGAAGGGGAGCUAACCCGCAGAGGAUUGCGGUUGAUAUCCCGUGGUUCAAAUCCACGGAUCGUGUGCGCGGUUCGGAGCGCCUUCGGCGCGAAAACCGCGAGUCACGAUCGACCGUAUGGAGACGGCCGAGGAGCGAUGGAACGGCGAACCCUCACCGGUGCAAGUCCGUGCCGUGGUAGCCCGAACGCCCCGCGGCAUCGCCGCGGACGGCACGGACGCUCAGCCGAAUGCCGGGACGAACAGAAGGGGGCUUACUCCUCUCACCC
rnacentral:RNase_P_RNA from 2 species